CCUACGGGGGGCUGCAGUGGGGAAUUUUGGACAAUGGGCGCAAGCCUGAUCCAGCCAUGCCGCGUGAGUGAAGAAGGCCUUCGGGUUGUAAAGCUCUUUCGGCCGGGAAGAAAUCGCAUUCUCUAAUAUAGGAUGUGGAUGACGGUACCGGACUAAGAAGCACCGGCUAACUACGUGCCAGCAGCCGCGGUAAUACGUAGGGUGCGAGCGUUAAUCGGAAUUACUGGGCGUAAAGCGUGCGCAGGCGGUUUUGUAAGACAGAUGUGAAAUCCCCGGGCUUAACCUGGGAACUGCGUUUGUGACUGCAAGGCUAGAGUACGGCAGAGGGGGGUGGAAUUCCUGGUGUAGCAGUGAAAUGCGUAGAUAUCAGGAGGAACACCGAUGGCGAAGGCAGCCCCCUGGGCCUGUACUGACGCUCAUGCACGAAAGCGUGGGGAGCAAACAGGAUUAGAUACCCCAGUAGUC
rnacentral:rRNA from 1 species